rnacentral:tRNA from 1 species
CCCCCGGUAGCUCAGUUGGUAGUAGCGCCUGUUUGUUGGCGCAGCCUGCCGAAGGCAUAGAACAGGAGGUCGUCGGAUCGAAACCGACCUGGGGGG